AGGACGAACGCUGGCGGCGUGCUUAACACAUGCAAGUGGAGCGACGAACCAGGCUUGCCCUGGGGCAGAGCCGCGAACGGGUGAGUAACACGUGGGUUACCUGCCCCGAUGACCGGGACAACCCGAGGAAACUCGGGCUAAUACCGGAUGUGGUCCUCGGACCAAAGGAAGCUUCGGCCUCCGCAUACGGGAUGGGCCCGCGGCCUAGUCAGCUUGUUGGUGGGUAACGGCCCACCAAGGCUCCGACGGGUAG
rnacentral:rRNA from 1 species